UUUGAAUUCAUAUUGGUCCUCCUGCAACUUAAAUAUUGAAAUUUGUGUUUGAUUUCUCGAAACUAUUAAAUGAAGAAGACUUACCGACUUUCCAGAUUAUUCCAUCUUCCCUGUCGACAUAGUAGAAGAUGCUGGAAGUCUUUAAACUUCUUACCUAUCUAGCGCCAAGACUAAAAAUGAAUCUAGAAGCCAUUUUCACUGCCAUAUUGGAAGAAGCUAUUGAAACAUGAUUUGACAUGAGUGCUCUUAGACCAAUAUUUGAGGGUGCUCUUAGACCAAUAUUUGAGGGUUAUAUUUUAUCCAGCACCUUGAAGUUUAAUUAAGGGGCAUUUUUAAAAAUGUCCAAUUUUAAUGAUAUGAGUUGAAAAGUGUCCAUCCAUUUGAAUUUAGUGCCAAUUUAUCUAUUAUGCCCUUAAUGAAAAGUUACAUUUUAAAAUGAUAUUCUCAAUAUCUGAUUUUUUAUCAAUUUGUCACGAAUUUUGAGAAGUGACUUCCAGGAAAAGUUACAUUAAAAUAAUGUUUCUCGACAUUUCAUAUGUCAUUAUUGAUAUAUGAACACCGUUUCAUUUGUCUAGAAUGACAUUUCAUUUUGAACAUGACAUUUCUCUACAUUUAAAAAUAUCGUUGUUCUCAACAUUUCUGAAUCAAUGAAAAACAUAGCAUUUAUUGUGAUUUGACAUGUAUUCUUUUUGAAACAAAAAUGGCAGGUUAUGUGUCAAAAUUUUAUUGGCCAAUAGCAAUAUUGCAAAAAUGUCCAUUUUUUUGUCAUAGUGUGGAAUUAUAAAUUGUUAAUUAGGGUAUUUUGGUUUAAAUUCUUCCAAAUUAGACAUUUUUGCAAUGAUGGACAUUUUUGGAAAUGACUAGGUAAAAAUGGACAUUUUGUGUAAUUUCCUCUUUAAUUAACUUCUUCUAGGCUAUUAAGUUCCUAUCUGGAAACCGUCAUCUACAUUGAUACACUUUAAAUCUUAAUAUUAUAUACUAUCCAGUCAUCUCUGCAAUGAGGACACAUUUCCUGUUAAAUACCAAUAACUACUGUAAUUUAACAAAUAUAGUUUUGUUGGUAAGUUUUGAAUGAAAUAAUUUGCAGCAAUCCUUGGAUCAAGGUUUUAUAUAGUGUCUAUUUCAAGUUCAGAUAUUCUUAGCCUGUAGCUAUGUGCCAUGCUUCAGGCUAUGUAACUAGCAAUGUCUCUUUUGCUGUUGUUGCUGUCUUAUUCACUCACGCAAUUAAAGGUGACGCUCAACCUAAUUUGCAGGAUUAAUUCAAAAUUGAACUAAAUUCAUAUUUUUUAAACUGACACAAUUUAUUUUGCAAAAUUUCUCUUAUUAUUUAUGUUUCUUUUUAAUCAUCUCUUGAGCCUUUUUUACAAUGUUGCUGCUUCACAAUUCAUACUUGGGCAACAAAUACCUUUCACAUUAUGGUUGUCAUUGGCACCUGUUGUUAUUGGUAAGGUAUAAUAUUCUUCCAAGUUUAACUUGCAACUAUAACUCUAGUUCUCCAAUAACUUAAAUGAAAGCCCAAUUUCGCAUUGCUUUGGACAAUUUCAUUUGGGAAACAGGGGGAGACUGAAAGCAUAAAAGAAACGGGAGAAAAGAAGAAGGAAAAAAAAAAGAAAAGAAAAGUAGGAGGAGGAAAAGGAAGAGGAAGGCAUCGAUCUCAGUGUGUUAACUCGAGCUUGAGGUUCAUCUUUUGUUCUUUAAGAAGCAAGCAAAUAAAUUAUUAAGGGACGAGUAAUGUUAAAUAUUCUAGGGUUUUAAUUUGUGGUUUAAAUUUACAGAUUGAAGAAAACGAGUAUCUUCUCAAGCUCCUUGAUUUGCUAAUUUUCAUUUGCAUAAAGGUAAAAAAAUAUCAUUUUAGAAAUAGAACUUCUAAUUGGAUACUCCAAGAAGUGAGUGUAGUUGGCGAAAAUGAAUGCGUUAAUAGAUAAUCACUUAAAAAAAGAUGUAUGGACUGGAAUGAAAAUUAAAUCGG
rnacentral:lncRNA from 1 species